GGCAAGGUGGCCGAGUGGUUAAGGCGAUAGACUCGAAUGUCCCAUUCUGCGGGAUUGACUCGGCUAUCUAUUGGGUUCGCCCGCGUAGGUUCAAAUCCUGCCCUUGUCG